ACAUAAUACACAAACAUUUCUUUGAGUUCCAAAGACUUUCUGUAAAUUUUGACCUGCCAAUCUUCAUUAUUUAGUGUCUUGCAGAAGUCUAUGCACUGGCUAUGAAAAAAAUUGCCAACUCACUUUCCCUUAGUAAUGGACCUUUAAAUCUGCAUUUCCCUUAAAAAUAUCUCAUACUUCAAAGUCAGAGAGGAUAUCUCAGAAAAUGUUGAUAACAGUUUUAAUCAGUGUAAAUGCUUCCAUUAACUGUCUCAUCAGUACUUUUUUAUCAAACUGUUUUUGCAUUUUUAUUCAAUUUACGGGAAAAUGAUGAAUGAUGAUUAUAAGUCACUCGAAUUUAAUAUAUUUCAGGUGAUGCCCGGUCCAGUGGUUUUGCCGUGUCAGAUGAAGAUUUUGAGAAGUAAGCUAUUAAAGAGUGCCUUUACAAAGAAUCUGUGAUGAAGUGAUUUGGAAAAACAAUAGAUCAAGAGAAGAAAAAAAAACAGUCAAUAGUGAUCCGGAAACAAAUACAGCUACAAUGUUUCGGACAGUUGACAGUAUCAAUAAAACAAUAAGACCCAUACAAUUCCAGAACGCCCCUAAACGCCCAUAUUAUAUAUACGACAUGGGACCCAGAAAGAUCCCACAUGGGUUAUAAGAUCUGGGACCCAUAAGGGACCCACAUUGGUCCCAUAUAGUAUAUCCCAUAUGGGACCCAUGCCAAAAUGGUUUGCAAAACCCAUCUGGGUCCCAUGUGGGUAGCCCAUAUAGGUCCCACAUGGGAAACCAUAUGGGUCCCAAUGAUAAUAUUUGGUUGUUUACAUUUAAAUUUGCUGAUAUAUGUCUAUCUGGUGAAUGUACAUAUGUUAUGUUCAGGAGGAAAUAAAAGAAUCAAUUAAUCAUCCUCGGGUUAAGUAUUGUGUAAUCCAUGGAGUCGCCUCAAUUGAGAAAGAAUAGUUUAACGUCAGAGGUUAUUUCUAAGGUCACGGAGUUUAAUUGGCCAGCUUGUAAUUACACAGCUUUCCACAUCAGUAGCUCAGUCAAGUGUGACUUAUUGAAUUAAGAUAUUCCUUCUCAAGAGAAGGAAUAACAAGAGCAAAUUAUGGCAUCAAUUUUCAAGCUUUCUUGAAGUUAUUCGAUGUUUUUUUUCCUAACCACAGACAGGAAUAAACAUACCCACACACGCAGGGUCGCACGCACAUAAGCAAAUACUGCAACAAAUCUGUAAACUGGACAAAAUCUGAUAAACCACAUUAAGAUAACUCAUGAAUUUCUUACCUCUUUUUUGCAGUUCAGCUAAGCGACACUACAGAAUGCUACGACUGUUCCGGAUGUAAAAUACAAAUUUCAGGGAGUACAGACUGUCCGAAGUUUUGUAAAAAGCCGGGAUCUUCUCCUGAUGAUGAGUUCGUCAAGCGGUGCUCGCAGAAGUUUUUCUGUGCGACUGAUGCCUGUUACUGUUCUGAUCAUACAUGUAGUGGAGCCCAGUUGGUGAAGAUACCUGUGUUUGUUUUACUGUCAUACAUGUGUGUCACUUUUUCAUUGAAAUAUAUUUUGUAACUGCCAGCUGUCAUUGUGCUAAGAAUAACAUUUCAUUUCAUAAACAUAACAUUUUUGAGCUUAAUAACCGACUCAUCUGUUAACUUUGGUCUUAGGACCUUUGCCAGGAAAAAAUACUUAUGAAAACUGAAACAAGUACUCCUGCAUGUUUUGCUAUAUGAACAAAGUCUCUCCAAAAUAUACAUGAUCAUACAGUGCUGUCUUUCUCUUACAUCAGUUUUUGUUAAUGUCUAUAUGUCUAUGAAAAUAUCAUGUAUGC